rnacentral:rRNA from 1 species
UAAGCAUAUAAUUAAGCGGAGGAAAAGAAAAUAACUAUGAUUCCCUCAGUAACGGCGAGUGAAGCGGGAAGAGCUCAUUCUGUGAAUCUGUAUGCUCUUUUGGUAUACCGAGUUGUAGAAUAUAGAAGCACAUCAGUGCGAAUUCCGGUCUAAGUCUCUUGGAAAAGAGCAGCUAAGAGGGUGAGACUCCCGUUCUUGGCUGGAAUUCAAACUUUAGCAUGUGGUUUCGACGAGUCGAGUUGCUUGGGAUUGCAGCUCAAAGUUGGUGGUAAAUUCCAUCUAAAGCUAAAUAUCGGUGGGAGACCGAUAGCGUACAAGUACCGUGAGGGAAAGAUGCAAAGAACUUUGAAAAAAGAGUUAAAGAGUACCUGAAAUUGCUGAAAUGGAAGCGAAGGAAACCAGUGCCGUUCUGUAUCAUUCUUCCGUCCUUGCUUGCGAGGGUGGCGCUGUGAUGCAGGAUAGGCCAGCGUGGGUUUGAGCCGAAGGAAGCAGCUCUUCAGGAGGCAGCGCAAUUUCUGUGCGAUUACUGUUGAGCUUUGCUUCGGCUUGGACUGAGGCUAGUCACUUGUGCUCGUGACGCUGGCGAAAUGGUUUUCUUUACCCCGUCUUGAAACACGGACCAAGGAGUCUAACAUAUGUGCGAGUAUAUGAGUGACAAACUCACAUGCGAAAUGAAAGUAACAGUGGUUGGACCUUCUGGGCACAAUCCGCCGGCCACAAUCCUUCGGGAGAAAGGUCUGAGUGUGAGCAUACAUGUUGGGACCCGAAAGAUGGUGAACUAUGCCUGAAUAGGGUGAAGCCGCGGGAAACCACGGUGGAGGCUCGUAGCGGUUCUGACGUGCAAAUCGAUCGUCAAAUUUGGGUAUAGGGGCGAAAGACUAAUCGAACCAUCUAGUAGNG